rnacentral:sRNA from 1 species
GGUAUUCGUCCGCACACCUGAGGAAAAUGUGUUCAAAUGGAAGCUCGACUGGGUGGGGGUGGAAGUUGGCGCUGAAAGUUGGGCCCGACGACAACCUGCAGCAUCCCUUUGGCAAACGCUGUACUAUACAUAUAUUGUAGUACCAGAUUGCUUCGCCUUUUCUCCAGAAGCAUCCAGUCGGGCGGAAGCUAUCAUCAUCCUGUUGUGCUAGUAAUUGUGUCUUGGGGGAAGGGAAGAUAAGGUCCAUGAGAAGGAUUUUGAACUUCCAGCUCGCCAUCAACAAGAUGAGAGAUGGCAGCGGUCAGAGUUGGCCAGGGGUCGGUAAGUGUCCGAUGGGAAAUCUUUGCCAAUAUGGACCAUCGCUGGCAAAAUAUCGGCCUUCCGGACGAUUCAACCUUCUUCAAAGGUGGAGCUGAGUCAUAAUAGGAAUAGGGCAAUAAAUCAAGCGUGUUUACCGCGUAAGGCACUGCGGAGAAAUCGACAGUUCAUAUUAUUUGGAACACUUGCCCCACCAACCACUACAGUUUUCUCAUUCUCAGCCUGCAUCCUGCAUCGUGCAUCGUGCAUCUCGCAUACUAGUCGUGUAUUAUGGAAAGCCGUAUCGUGGGUAGUUCUUAGAUAUCGCUCGACGCACAAAACCAGUGGCGGCUGAAUCGCUGGCUGAUUUUUAGCGUGAAGGUGGGGAGCGAAAGCGUGGGUCCGUUGUUGACGCCAGCGAAGGACCCCGGAAGCAACAUGCGCAAUCUACACAUGCUAUGGAGUAAUCUGUGCAUUGAAACAAGUUCAACAUCAUGAAGAACUACAAAGGAAAUGAAAAAAUGAAAAAAAAAAAGGAAGCGUAUCCAGACUGUAUCUGUAAUGAUGCCUGUUAUCGGAUUGUGCAGUUUAUUCCACUGCCACCAUGCUGUAACUUAAUCGUGCCCCCGCUUAUUCCCAAUUUCAGGUAACUUUUCCAUAGUUAGGUACAGUGCAUGAAAUAUUUAAGGCUAAGGCUAGAUAUAUUCAAAGUGUACAGAUCUGUAGAGAAUAUGCUGAUACAGACCUUUU